CCUGUCUGCCACUAAUUAUCCUCCCUAUAUUAGUUCCUGUCUGUCUGAGCUUGAGUUGUCGGUUAUUGUCGGUGAAUGAGACACACACACUC